rnacentral:rRNA from 1 species
UAUCUCUGUAGAGUCUGCAUAUCAAUAAGCGGAGGAAAAGAAACUAACAAGGAUUCCCUUAGUAACGGCGAGUGAAGCGGGAAGAGCUCAAAUUUGAAAUCUUCAAGGUUUUACCUUGACGAAUUGUAGUUUAAAGAAGUGUUUUCUGUUGGAGUUUCGGUAAAAGUUCUUUGGAAUAGGACAUCAUAGAGGGUGAGAAUCCCGUAUUUGACCGUUAUUUUCAGCUGUGUGAUACACUUUCAAAGAGUCGGAUUGUUUGGGAAUGCAGUCCAAAAUGGGUGGUAAAUUUCAUCUAAAGCUAAAUAUUGGCGAUGAGACCGAUAGCGAACAAGUACCGUGAGGGAAAGAUGAAAAGAACUUUGAAAAGAGAGUUAAACAGUACGUGAAAUUGUCAAAAGGGAAGCGUUUGACACCAGUGUUGUUUUCUCGAAAAUCAAUUAAAAAUGGCUUGAUUUUGUGUUGUAUUGACCUUAAAAGCUUUCUUCACUUUUUUCAUGUCUUUUUAAUGCACUUUUCGUUUAACAAGUCAACAUCAGUUUCUUUUGUUGUAAAAAGGUCAUUGGAAGGUGGCUUUCUUUUCGGAGAAAGUGUUUAUAGCCUUUGACUCCUGCAAUCGGAGAGACUGAGGUCUGCAGCGUAGAUCCUUCUGGAUUAGAUUCAUUUGUGCUAAGUUACAACCGUUUAUAGACAACUUGUUGACUAUAUUCGAUCCUGUAGCUUACUCGCUUAUGUAAUUUUACCUACGCUUAGGAUGUUGAGUCAUCACACAUCUCU